UACGUAGGGGGCAAGCGUUGUCCGGAAUUAUUGGGCGUAAAGAGCGUGUAGGCGGUUCGGUAAGUCUGCUGUGAAAUCCUGGGGCUCAACCCUGGGCGUGCAGCGGAUACUGCCGGGCUAGAGGGUGGUAGAGGCGAGUGGAAUUCCGAGUGUAGCGGUGAAAUGCGCAGAUAUUCGGAGGAACACCAGUAGCGAAGGCGGCUCGCUGGGCCACACCUGACGCUGAGACGCGAAAGCGUGGGGAGCGAACAGG
rnacentral:rRNA from 1 species